rnacentral:lncRNA from 1 species
AUGUCGUAUGAUCUUGGAUAUGAGGUUCCACCAAAGUACACUAAAGUAUCUACUCAUGUUGGAGACCAAUUGUAUUGCAAGACAACUAUUACUCUUGUUUUCGACAAGGAAGAUCUUCCCCAGCUAUAUCAUUCAAUGGCAAGGCUAAUUGUUUCUUGUGUCACUUCGCAAGUUGUGUCUUCUAUGCUCGUGAAGGAGUCGCUUAUGAAGCUUCGUGUCGUCUCUGUCAUCAUUUCAAGGAUCGUCUAG